CGGCGAGUGAAGCGGCAACAGCUCAAAUUUGAAAUCUGGCUUCUUUGGAGCCCGAGUUGUAAUUUGUAGAGGGUGGCUCGGUAUUAUCUAUUGCCUAAGUUCCUUGGAACAGGACGUCGCAGAGGGUGAGAAUCCCGUAUGUGGCUUUUUGAUUUUACUAUGUGAGCCCCCUUCGACGAGUCGAGUUGUUUGGGAAUGCAGCUCUAAAUGGGAGGUAAAUUUCUUCUAAAGCUAAAUACACGCCAGAGACCAAUAGCGCACAAGUAGAGUGAUCGAAAGAUGAAAAGCACUUUGGAAAGAGAGUUAAAAAGCACGUGAAAUUGUUGAAAGGGAAGCGCUUGCAGCUAGACGUGCCCGCAUUUGCUCUCCCAGACUUCUGUCUGGUGCAUUCGUUUGCGGGCAGGCCAGCAUCAGUUUAGGCGGUUGAAGAAAAGCGGUGGGAAUGUAGCUCCUCUCGGGGAGUGUUAUAGCCCAUCGUGCAACGCAACCAGCCCAGACUGAGGUCCGCGCAUCUGCUAGGAUGCUGGCGUAAUAGCUUCAAGCGGCCCGUCUUGAAACACGGACCAAGGAGUCUAACAUCUAUGCGAGUGUUUGGGUGUCAAGCCCAGGCGCGCAAUGAAAGUAAACGGAGGUGGGAACCUUUUAGGUGCACCAUCGACCGAUCCGGACGUUCUCUGAUGGAUUUGAGUAAAAGCAUAGCUGUUGGGACCCGAAAGAUGGUGAACUAUGCUUGAAUAGGGUGAAGCCAGAGGAAACUCUGGUGGAGGCUCGCAGCGGUUCUGACGUGCAAAUCGAUCGUCAAAUUUGGGCAUA
rnacentral:rRNA from 1 species